rnacentral:rRNA from 1 species
UACGGAGGGUGCAAGCGUUGUUCGGAAUUACUGGGCGUAAAGCGCACGUAGGCGGAUCUGUAUGUCGAUUGUGAAAUCCCCGGGCUUAACCUGGGAAUUGCAGUCGAAACUGCAGACCUUGAAUGCUUGAGAGGAUGGCGGAAUUCCUGGUGUAGUAGUGAAAUACGUAGAUAUCAGGAAGAACACCCGAGGCGAAGGCGGCUAUCUGGUGAUGCAUUGACGCUGAGGUGCGAAAGCGUGGGGAGCAAACAGG